CUUCACAUGCCGUGACCGCGUAGGGAAACUGUGACGUCGAACUCAUCACCAUGAUAUAUUUGGUACAUGCAGUAACAUGAGUUUUACUUGAAAAUGUUUCAAUGUAACUUUUACUUGAUUGUCGUUUUCGAUCUGCGUUUUAGGCUUACAAAAGAUAGAAUACAAGGAAUCACGGCGCUACUUUUGUCAGUCCAAGUAGACUUGCAAAAGAACAACAAUCGACGCAAGCGUUUCAGUCCAGCCAUGCACAAGUAACACAAGUGACGGGGCCAUGCUAAUCUUCUCUGUAUCGUUCCAAUUUUAGUAUAUGUGCUGCCGAAGCAAGCACGAGCUGGGAGUCUGGAGGACGGCUAUAUAUACCAGUGACUUCUGGGCAUGCGCAGAUCCCCCCUGCCUUGGAUAAGAGCACAAAACACUCCGACACAAGGAAGCUGCUCUCACUAGAGCAGAGCCCAUGAAAACCCAGACAGACACGUGGAGGGUAAGAAUACUCUAAAUCUUGGAGACAUGAAAAACUGAGUUCACAGCCAGCGUUGAACUCAAAGCUCUCAGCAGAACAAAGAUCAAACAUUCAAACUGACGUCGAGAACAAAGCCUGCCUGUCCUGCAGCUACAUGUGCUAUGUAGCAUUCUCCUGGAUAUCGUAGUUGUGAAAUGUGUUUUUAUGUUUUAAAAAGGACUAUAAAAGUCAUUAGUUGCACAGAGAUUAGUUUGUUAUGUCUUAACUAUAGCUUCAUAGAAUCUUGCUAAUAAUCUGACUUUAAGUUUUUGCUUACAGCAUUUAUCCACAAAGCUUAAAUGGAUAGUUUACAGGAAAAUAAAUGUGGUUCAGAAAAGUGGCCUCUUUUUGAGUUUUUUCCCCGUUGAACACACAAAAACAUGCUUUGAGGAAUGUUGGGAAAUAGCAGCUAUUGAUAUUCAUUGUAGGAAAAAAAAUGUAAGUCAAUGACUUCCAGCUUUAUUUACUAUGUCUUCUUUAAAACACCUUUAUUUUAUACCUAAAAAAAAAACUAAAUUCAUUCACAUUUGAAAGAAGUGGAAUGUUGAGUUUGAUAGAAUUUCCAUUUUGUUAGUGAACUGUCUCUUUAAGUGGCUCCAACACUAUGAGUUUCCUUUCUCUGGUUUAAAACCAGUACAUUAAUAGGAAAAAAUACAAUGGAAGUCAUUGGCUACUUUUUUUCCCCAGCAUUUUCUUAAAAAAGAAAUGCUUUAACAAAAGAAGGAAACUAAUAGAUGCUGGAGUAAGUGGAUGGUGAGUAGGCAUAGGCCGGUAUAAGGUUUUGACUGUAUGAUAACCUUGAAUAAAAAUAUCACAGUUUGA